AGAGUUUGAUCCUGGCUCAGGAUGAACGCUAGCGGCAGGCCUAAUACAUGCAAGUCGAACGGUGAUAGCAAUAUCAUAGUGGCGCACGGGUGCGUAACACGUAUGCAACCUACCUAUUAUUGGGGGAUAGCCUUUGGAAACGGAGAUUAAUACCGCAUAAUACGAUUGACUGGCAUCGGUUGAUUGUUAAAGCUUUGGCGAUAAUAGAUGGGCAUGCGUCCAAUUAGUUAGUUGGUUAGGUAACGGCUGACCAAGACGAUGAUUGGUAGGGGAUCUGAGAGGAUAAUCCCCCACACUGGCACUGAGAUACGGGCCAGACUCCUACGGGAGGCAGCAGUAGGGAAUAUUGGGCAAUGGGCGGAAGCCUGACCCAGCCAUGCCGCGUGCAGGAAGAAGGCGUUAUGCGUUGUAAACUGCUUUUUUAUAGGAAGAAGGAUCCCUUGCGAGGGAAGGUGACGGUACUAUAAGAAUAAGCACCGGCUAACUCCGUGCCAGCAGCCGCGGUAAUACGGAGGGUGCAAGCGUUGUCCGGAUUUAUUGGGUUUAAAGGGUGCGUAGGCGGUUUAUUAAGUCAGUGGUGAAAGACGGUCGCUCAACGAUUGCAGUGCCAUUGAUACUGGUAG
rnacentral:rRNA from 1 species